AUCAGAAUAUUAAAUAAUAAGCUAAAUCUAUUAGUCAUAAUAUAUAUAUAUAUAUAUAUCUACAUCUACUAUAUAUUAAAAGAAAAAUAAGGGGUACCGAAGAGAGGCUAAACGUUGAUCCACAUCAUCCGAAUUAAUUUAACAUGAAGCAACCAGAUGACAGACGCAUCUUUUUUUUAACCUAAACAAACUCUUACAGUUCAGGUUUAUUUUCCAUAAAGUCUGCUACACGUGCCUUCGUUGAAGCCGCCACCCUCAAUGCUGGAGCGUGCGCCACAUGUCUUCGCUGGUGACAAGGUAGGCCAAGCUUUGGAAGGGAAUCGUAGAGCCCACGUCCAUAAUGAAAAAUGUUUACGGAUAUGCGUGAACUAGGUUGCGUUGCAGCAAUUCAUCGAGAUCAAACAAAUUAAUACUUCAGCAAAGUCCUACGCACAUUUGGUGUCAUGUCAUUAUUAACUGGAAUUUUUACAUUCGGUGGUAAUUAGCGACUUAACACGGUGCCAUCCAAGAGUUCAGUGGUAAUUAGUGGUCUGAUCUUCGUCUCCACGUGGGGUGGCCAAUGCAAGUGCUUGCAACAUCACAGCACGGCGGCUUUGCAGCUUGCACGCGCGGUGCUCUCCACACCUCCGCUGCUGUGAUCAGCCGCCCCAGCGCCAUUGGCCAUUGCUGCCAUGAUCCGUCGUCGUCGAGACGCCAUCAGGUCUCUAUUGUCGUGAUCCACGGCCGCCACAACGCUCUAUCAGCUGCCACCGGAUGCCACCUCGCUCACUCGCUGCACCGCGCGCCAGCUCGCAAGGAAUGCUUGACGCAUCAUCGGUCCAAAAUAAUAAUUAAAUACUAAAAAUAUAUAAGUUUGUGAUCAAUGUCUAAAAGGAAAUUUAAAAAUUAUAUAAAAUAAUAUUGCAUAAAGUAAAAUGUAGCAAAUGCAUAAGUUCCUUAUUCAAGCUCAACGCUUAUAUUGCAAAUAAUCUUAAUAAAAUACAAAUCUGUUGCUAAAAAAAUAUAAUGACAAUCUAAUCUACAAUAUAAUGUGUUAUUGAAUCAAUCUAAUGAUACAUAAUAUUCCAUCUUAUCAUUUCAAAAAAUUUGUCUUCACGAAAAACAAUAAAAAAAAAGCUAUACAUAUUUUGGUUAAGUAAAAUAUAUAAGAAAUCAAAUAUUUCAUUAUACAAGUCUAGCCGCGCAAUCUGCGCAGGUCGCCCCAAUCAUUUCUAGCCGUUAGGUAUGAGAUCUACCAGUCCUACAAGCAAUAUGAGAUGUACCUGGGGAGCCUCCACAUUGAUUCACAUCACCCCAAUUAUUUCCAGACGUUAGAUGUCAGAUAUACGAAUCCUACAAAUCGUUCGUUUGAUGUUACGUUCGGCUGAACCUCUAAAAAGAAACAUCGUGUCCAAACUAACAACAGGAAGUAGUGGAGGGAGGCGCCAAGCAGAGCAACAAUGAAGCGAUAGACAAGGGUGGGAGUACUGUGGCGGCUGUGGCCUCGCCGCCUAGGGGAAUUGGGUAAUGAAAGGCUCA
rnacentral:lncRNA from 1 species